AACGGAGUUUUAACGGAAGUUUCGGAUGGAAGUUUAGAAACUUAGUGGCGGACGGGUGAGUAACGCGUGGGUAACCUGGCCUCAGUACAGGGGGAUAACAGUUAGAAAUGACUGCUAACACCGCGAUAAUAUAGCGAAACCGCAUGAUUUUGCUAUCAAAUAUUUAUAGGUAUGAGAUGGGCCCGCGUCUGAUUAGCUAGUUGGUGGGGUAAAAGCCUACCAAGGCGACGAUCAGUAGCCGGCUUGAGAGAGUGACCGGCCACAUUGGGACUGAGACACGGCCCAAACUCCUACGGGAGGCAGCAGUGGGGAAUAUUGGACAAUGGGGGAAACCCUGAUCCAGCGAACCGCCGCGUGAGUGAAGAAGUAUUUCGGUAUGUAAAGCUCUAUCAGCAGGGAAGAUAAUGACAGUACCUGACUAAGAAGCCCCGGCUAACUACGUGCCAGCAGCCGC
rnacentral:rRNA from 1 species